rnacentral:rRNA from 1 species
AUUGAACGCUGGCGGCAGGCCUAACACAUGCAAGUCGAACGGUAACAGGAAGACGCUUGCUUCUUUGCUGACGAGUGGCGGACGGGUGAGUAAUGUCUGGGAAACUGCCUGAUGGAGGGGGAUAACUACUGGAAACGGUAGCUAAUACCGCAUAACGUCGCAAGACCAAAAAGGGGGACCUUCGGGCCUCUUGCCAUCGGAUGUGCCCAGAUGGGAUUAGCUAGUAGGUGGGGUAACGGCUCACCUAGGCGACGAUCCCUAGCUGGUCUGAGAGGAUGACCAGCCACACUGGAACUGAGACACGGUCCAGACUCCUACGGGAGGCAGCAGUGGGGAAUAUUGCACAAAGGGCGCAAGCCUGAUGCAGCCAUGCCGCGUGUAUGAAGAAGGCCUUCGGGUUGUAAAGUACUUUCAGCGGGGAGGAAGGGAGUAAAGUUAAUACCUUUGCUCAUUGACGUUACCCGCAGAAGAAGCACCGGCUAACUCCGUG